GGAGAGCUGGCUGAGUGGUCGAAGGCGCACGAUUGGAAAUCGUGUGUACGUUAAUAGCGUACCUAGGGUUCAAAUCCCUAGCUCUCCG
rnacentral:tRNA from 1 species